AGAAGGCGCCUGAGAGAUAGCGACUAUAUCCACGGGUAGCAGCAGGCGCGAAACUUACCCACUCGAGACUAUCGGAGGUGGUAAUGACCAGUUAUAAUUAAGGAAUUUCCCUUAUUAUAUAGGAAUAUACUUUUCCAGUAUAUUGUAACCUAGCAGAGGGCCAGUCUGGUGCCAGCAGCUGCGGUAAUUCCAGCUCUGCAAGUUUGCUCCCAUAUUGUUGUAGUUAAAACGCUCGUAGUCUGAAUUAUUUUAAUUUAAAUUUUUUAAAUUAAAAUUUAGUUUUUAUUUUAUAAAAACGUUCACUGUGAACAAAUCAGAACGCUUAAAGUAAUUUUCUUUAUUGAAUGAUUUAGCG
rnacentral:rRNA from 1 species